rnacentral:tRNA from 1 species
GGGGUUGUAGCUCAGUGGUAGAGCACUCGCCUAGUAUGUGUGUGGUGCUGGGUUGAAUUCUCAGCACCACA